UACGGGGGGGGCAAGCGUUGUUCGGAAUUACUGGGCGUAAAGGGCUCGUAGGCGGCCAACUAAGUCAGACGUGAAAUCCCCAGGCUCAACCUGGGAACUGCGUCUGAUACUGGAUGGCUUGAAUUCGGGAGAGGGAUGCAGAAUUCCGGGUGUAGCGGUGGAAUGCGUAGAGAUCCGGAAGAACACCGGUGGCGAAGGCGGCCUGCUGGGCAGUUGCUGACACUGAGGCGCGACAGCGUGGGGAGCAAACAGGG
rnacentral:rRNA from 1 species